AACGAACGCUGGCGGCAUGCCUAACACAUGCAAGUCGAACGAGACCUUCGGGUCUAGUGGCGCACGGGUGCGUAACGCGUGGGAACCUGCCCUUAGGUUCGGAAUAACUCCCCGAAAGGGGUGCUAAUACCGGAUAAUGUCUUCGGACCAAAGAUUUAUCGCCUUUGGAUGGGCCCGCGUUGGAUUAGCUAGUUGGUAGGGUAAAAGCCUACCAAGGCGACGAUCCAUAGCUGGUCUGAGAGGAUGAUCAGCCACACUGGGACUGAGACACGGCCCAGACCAGCUGGGGGGGCAGAUGGGGAAGAUGUCGGACAGGGGGCGGACGCCAGAUACAGCAUAGCGGGGGGGGAGAAGAGGCCGUUAGUGUUGUAACGCUAUGUACCGUGAGAACAAAAGGACAGAGGCGGGCGAAUACCCUCGGCCUACCCCCGUGCCAGCCGCCGCGGUAAGCCGCGGAAGAGCCCGCGUCUGACC
rnacentral:rRNA from 1 species